UGGUUUUUUAAGACAUUGCAUUUAGAUCUUUACCACAAUAUUAUUAUUGCUUUAGAGUUUCACUUUACUUUAGCUUUCCGACAACCAAUACUGAUAACCGAUUAAUGAGAAAUAAUUCGUCAAGUUCUUGCCAAUGUAGUUCAAAGUGUCAUAUUACCUUGUUGCAGAUAGUGCAUUGCAUAUUCUACAUUGAUUAUUGAUCUUACUGUUACUUGAAAGCGUGUACAAUUUAAGAUUUUAGGUAUCAAGAAUCUUACCGAUGGAAUGAAUAACUUGAAUGCUUAAGCAGUACCAGCUUUCUUGGUCUAACCGCUCCUCACCAGCUCUCUUGAUCGCUCUGCAUCUUGUCGAUUCUGGUUGUUGGGGAUUUGAUGAUUCAUAGAAGUAAAAGUCUCCAUCAAGCUCUCAAUCUGUCGAAGGUCUACAGUGAAUUCCAUACCAAAAUCCCGGUUGUUGGCCAACCAAUUCUCUACUAAAAUGUUGCCGAAAACAGUAAUAGUUGCUCAUAUUGAAAAUUUCUGCUUUAAAGUUGGAACAUCUUUAAGUUUAUACGCUUAUCAGAAGAAAAUUCUAUAAGAAUCAACAUGUACCAAAUGACAACACAAGGAAUAGGGACGGCAAUUUAACCCGAAUUUGAUGGGUUUCGAUGUGAUCAGAUUUUUUUUUUAAAUUCGGAUUUGAGUCGGGUCGGAUUGGAUUUUUUA